UACGAAGGGGGCUAGCGUUGCUCGGAAUUACUGGGCGUAAAGCGCACGUAGGCGGCUUUCUAAGUCGGGGGUGAAAUCCUGGAGCUCAACUCCAGAACUGCCUCGAUACUGGAGAGCUCGAGUCCGGGAGAGGUGAGUGGAACUGCGAGUGUAGAGGUGAAAUUCGUAGAUAUUCGCAAGAACACCAGUGGCGAAGGCGGCUCACUGGCCCGGUACUGACGCUGAGGUGCGAAAGCGUGGG
rnacentral:rRNA from 1 species